rnacentral:rRNA from 1 species
UACGUAGGGGGCAAGCGUUGUCCGGAUUUAUUGGGCGUAAAGAGCGUGUAGGCGGCCAGACAGGUCCGUUGUGAAAACUCGAGGCUCAACCUCGAGACGCCGAUGGAAACCGUCUGGCUAGAGUCCGGAAGAGGAGAGUGGAAUUCCUGGUGUAGCGGUGAAAUGCGCAGAUAUCAGGAAGAACACCCGUGGCUAAGACGGCUCUCUAGUACGGUACUGACGCUGAGACGCGAAAGCGUGGGGAGCGAACAGG